AACAAUGACAAGCAGUUUCAUAACCGAAAGUGAAACUCUUAGGAUAGAGAAAGCGAAAGUAUAAGAUUCUCAAAGUGAAAAGGUCUGGACCCUUCUAGAAGAAACUCUGUGCAGCAGGACAUAUAAAAUUGAACUUAACACCUCAUCUCAGAAUAAAGAGAAGCUGUGCAGCAGAUGAAGUUGGAAAUGCAAAAUACACAAGAGCAUAGUCAAUCAAGCACGGAUGAAGUGAAAAAUGUCAAGGUCCCUGAAGAACAGCUGGAAGAUUCCCCUAAUCGAGUCAAAGUCCAUGUACAGUUUAGUGGCCCCACCCAGAAUGCCCACCAGACAUUUAUUAACAAGCUGCACAUGUCCCUGGAAGAGAGCAGCCUGGAAGACUGCAGUGUGAUCCUGGUCUUCUGGCUGAUCGUCACCCGGAUGGGGACAGAUAUGGAGGCAGCAAUAAGAGAAAUUCCAAGUGACAAACCCGUCAUUCUGGUGCUCAUACACCACAGUUACAACCCAGACCACAUUGAUGACAUUCCGAUCAGAGCACCCAGGAGCAACGUGGUAAAAGUGAUCCAGUGUGUUUUCCAUGAGACAGUUGGACUUCUGGAGUGUGGAUUGAAUCAACGAGCAGUGAGUGGAGUGAGAUCUGAACUGAAACAGUACUGGUCAGUGUACAACAUGUACUACAAAUCGCACAAGUAAAGUAAAAUAGUUCAGUUUCACGUAUCAUAUCAGCUGAACACUUGAAUGUUCUAGUGAAGCAUGUCAUGUUAAAUCAGUCACUCGGUAACUAUAUUAGUGGUUGUGUAGCAGCUAAAGUAGACAUGUGACCUCUGUGCUGUAGGUUAUAAGCCCAGGGUCACUGCAGAUGAACCCUUGAGUAUGGCCUAUACCCUUAAGUUCCUUCAUACAUACAAUAAAUUACGCAUCGUUUCCCUCA
rnacentral:lncRNA from 1 species